rnacentral:lncRNA from 1 species
UCGCAGUCUCGCUUGUUUCUCUCUUAAUGUGAGGUGUACCGCCCCUUCGCCCCCUCGAUGCCGUCGCAAUGCGCAUUCUUUGAAUUUUGAUGUGUGUGUGUGUGUGUUUUUUUUUUCUUUAUUUUUUUUUUCUUUCCUUCUCGCUGAGGUUUUCCUUUUGGCUCACCUGGUUUCAUGUUCUCUUGUGUCUGUAGUUGUCGAAAUGGCAGCAGCGAUGGCCUCUAUGACUACCCCCGUCGUUGCCGGGCUUGGUGGCUCAGCUCUCCUCGCUAACAGGACUUCCUCUAAGGUCCAACUGACCUCGGGUGAGUUUCUCUCGUUGGUUCCACUUGUCUAGUGUGUGCGAUCGAAAUGUGAAUUUUUAUUGACUUGUGCGUUUUCGCUUAUUGGUUGGUCCUGAUUGCUCUUCGGUGUUCGUGCUUCUGAAUGCAGCUUUCGUUCCCCGUGCCGUUCAAGUUAACAAGCCUCUCUGCGUUUCCCGCGUCACCUGGUAUGUCCUCUACGAUGUCAAUUGGAAUUCAUGUGGUUGUAUCAUUCUGCUUUAAGUUCACUUAUUAGACUGUUUGCGGAUUCUCAUUUUCCAAAUACUUCGUAGCCUUUCAGUGUUUCAAGACGAUCGAUUUGAUUCUUUCUGUGAUGAAUGCGAUGGUUGCUGUGCGCAGCUUCAACAGGGAUUGGUUGAGGAAGGACCUCUCUGUCAUUGGCUUUGGCCUCAUUGGUUGGUUGGCACCGUCCAGCCUGCCAGUCAUCAAUGGCAACAGCUUGACAGGCCUCUUCUUGGGCAGCAUCGGACCCGAGCUGGCUCACUUCCCUACAGGCCCAGCCCUUACAUCGCCAUUCUGGUACGUUCACAAUUCAACAUCUGUGUAUUCAGUGUUAUCAGACUCAGAGAGACCUUAAUGUUGUAUCGCGGAGUUUGCAGACUUUGUCUAUGGAGAAACGUGGGUUUCAGAUGAUUGUAGUGUUGAUCUAAAAUGUGGUGCUCUUGAAC